AGUUUGAUCCUGGCUCAGGAUGAACGCUGGCGGUAUGCUUAACACAUGCAAGUCGAACGAUGUGGGGACGUAGCAAUGCUACGUCUGUGCAUAGUGGCGGACGGGUGAGUAACGCGUGAGAAUCUAGCUUCAGGUUCGGGACAACAUUGGGAAACCGAUGCUAAUACCGGAUGUGCCGAGAGGUGAAAGGCUAGCCGCCUGAAGAAGAGCUCGCGUCUGAUUAGCUAGUUGGUGGUGUAAGGGACUACCAAGGCGACGAUCAGUAGCUGGUCUGAGAGGAUGAUCAGCCACACUGGAACUGAGACACGGGUCCAGACUCCUACGGGAGGCAGCAGUGGGGAAUUUUCCGCAAUGGGCGAAAGCUGACGGAGCAAUACCGCGUGAGGGGGAAGGCUCUUGGGUUGUAACCUCUUUUCUAAGGAAGAAGUUCUGACGGUACUUGAGGAAGCAUCG
rnacentral:rRNA from 1 species